UGUGCGUAUAAUUUUAAAAAAAAUAUUAGAUUGUGAUUCUAAAAAUGAGGGUUAAAUCCUCUCUACACACCAAGA
rnacentral:tRNA from 1 species